AGCCCCGAUUUUGCCAGAUUGCAAAUCCGGAAAAGGCGAAUUUGCCCGGGGCUU
rnacentral:tRNA from 1 species